rnacentral:rRNA from 1 species
CGUUACAGGUUCUCAGUGUGCUUCUGCCAAAACCCAAAUUUUCUAUGGUUGACCUCGGAUCAGGUAGGGAUACCCGCUGAACUUAAGCAUAUCAAUA